UGGGGAAUAUUGCACAAUGGGCGCAAGCCUGAUGCAGCCAUGCCGCGUGUAUGAAGAAGGCCUUCGGGUUGUAAAGUACUUUCAGCGGGGAGGAAGGGAGUAAAGUUAAUACCUUUGCUCAUUGACGUUACCCGCAGAAGAAGCACCGGCUAACUCCGUGCCAGCAGCCGCGGUAAUACGGAGGGUGCAAGCGUUAAUCGGAAUUACUGGGCGUAAAGCGCACGCAGGCGGUUUGUUAAGUCAGAUGUGAAAUCCUCGGGCUCAACCUGGGAAGUGCAUCUGAUACUGGCAAGCUUGAGUCUCGUAGAGGGGGGUAGAAUUCCAGGUGUAGCGGUGAAAUGCGGAGAGAUCUGGAGGAAUACCGGUGGCGAAGGCGGCCCCCUGGACGAAGACUGACGCUCAGGUGCGAAAGCGUGGGGAGCAAACAGG
rnacentral:rRNA from 1 species